AUUGCGCAAUGGGCGAAAGCCUGACGCAGCGACGCCGCGUGGGGGAUGAAGGUCUUCGGAUUGUAAACCCCUUUCGGGAGGGAAGAUGGAACGAGCAAUCGUUCGGACGGUACCUCCAGAAGCAGCCACGGCCAACUUCGUGCCAGCAGCCGCGGUAAUACGAAGGUGGCAAGCGUUGUUCGGAUUCACUGGGCGUACAGGAUGUGUAGGCGGUUUGGUAAGCCUUCUGUUAAAGCUUCGGGCCCAACCCGGAAAGCGCAGAGGGUACUGCCAGGCUAGAGGGUGGGAGAGGAGCGCGGAAUUCCCGGUGUAGCGGUGAAAUGCGUAGAGAUCGGGAGGAAGGCCGGUGGCGAAGGCGGCGCUCUGGAACAUACCUGACGCUGAGACACGAAAGCGUGGGGAGCAAACAGGAUUAGAUACCCUGGUAGUCCACGCCCUAAACGAUGAUCACUGGGUGUUCGGGGAGCGAUCUCUGAGUACCGUAGCUAACGCGUGAAGUGAUCCGCCUGGGGAGUACGGUCGCAAGAUUAAAACUCAAAGGAAUUGACGG
rnacentral:rRNA from 1 species